rnacentral:rRNA from 1 species
CGGCCGCGUCGACGAACGCUGGCGGCGUGCCUAAUACAUGCAAGUAGAACGCUGAAGAGAGGAGCUUGCUCUUCUUGGAUGAGUUGCGAACGGGUGAGUAACGCGUAGGUAACCUGCCUUGUAGCGGGGGAUAACUAUUGGAAACGAUAGCUAAUACCGCAUAACAAUGGAUGACACAUGUCAUUUAUUUGAAAGGGGCAAUUGCUCCACUACAAGAUGGACCUGCGUUGUAUUAGCUAGUAGGUGAGGUAACGGCUCACCUAGGCGACGAUACAUAGCCGACCUGAGAGGGUGAUCGGCCACACUGGGACUGAGACACGGCCCAGACUCCUACGGGAGGCAGCAGUAGGGAAUCUUCGGCAAUGGGGGCAACCCUGACCGAGCAACGCCGCGUGAGUGAAGAAGGUUUCGGAUCGUAAAGCUCUGUUGUAAGUCA